rnacentral:rRNA from 1 species
UACGUAGGGUGCGAGCGUUGUCCGGAAUUAUUGGGCGUAAAGGGCUCGUAGGCGGUUUGUCGCGUCGGGAGUGAAAACCAGGUGCUUAACACCUGGCUUGCUUUCGAUACGGGCAGACUAGAGGUAUUCAGGGGAGAACGGAAUUCCUGGUGUAGCGGUGAAAUGCGCAGAUAUCAGGAGGAACACCGGUGGCGAAGGCGGUUCUCUGGGAAUAUCCUGACGCUGAGGAGCG